rnacentral:rRNA from 1 species
AACGCGAAGAACCUUACCAACCCUUGACAUAGCAGAACCGCCGGAGAGAUUCGGCUUUCUCGUAAGAGACCUGCACACAGGUGCUGCAUGGCUGUCGUCAGCUCGUGUCGUGAGAUGUUCGGUUAAGUCCGGCAACGAGCGCAACCCACGUCCCUAGUUGCCAGCAUUCAGUUGGGCACUCUAUGGAAACUGCCGAUGAUAAGUCGGAGGAAGGUGUGGAUGACGUCAAGUCCUCAUGGCCCUUACGGGUUGGGCUACACACGUGCUACAAUGGUGGUGACAGUGGGUUAAUCCCCAAAAGCCAUCUCAGUUCGGAUUGUCCUCUGCAACUCGAGGGCAUGAAGUUGGAAUCGCUAGUAAUCGCGGAACAGCAUGCCGCGGUGAAUACGUUCCCGGGCCUUGUACACACCG